rnacentral:rRNA from 1 species
GUUUGAUCCUGGCUCAGGAUGAACGCUGGCGGCGUGCUUAACACAUGCAAGUCGAACGGAAAUGUCACGCUGAUGCGAUUUCGGUCAAAUCUUGUGGCAUUUUAGUGGCGGACGGGUGAGUAACGCGUGGGUAACCUGCCUCACACUGGGGGAUAACACUUAGAAAUAGGUGCUAAUACCGCAUAAGCGCACGGGACUGCAUGGUCUUGUGUGAAAAACUCCGGUGGUGUGAGAUGGACCCGCGUCUGAUUAGCUGGUUGGCGGGGUAACGGCCCACCAAGGCGACGAUCAGUAGCCGGCCUGAGAGGGUGGACGGCCACAUUGGGACUGAGACACGGCCCAAACUCCUACGGGAGGCAGCAGUGGGGGAUAUUGGACAAUGGGGGGAACCCUGAUCCAGCGACGCCGCGUGAGUGAAGAAGUAUUUCGGUAUGUAAAGCUCUGUCAGCAGGGAAGAAGAAAUGACGGUACCUGACCAAGAAGCCCCGGCUAACUACGUGCCAGCAGCCGCGGUAAUACGUAGGGGGCAAGCGUUAUCCGGAAUUACUGGGUGUAAAGGGAGCGUAGACGGUUAAGUAAGUCUGGAGUGAAAGGCUGGGGCCCAACCCCGGGACUGCUCUGGAAACUAUUUAACUUGAGUGCAGGAGAGGUAAGCGGAAUUCCUAGUGU